GGACUCCUGGGGUGAAGCCCUGUUCCUCACUCAUUAUGCCAUUUCAGGCCAGUUUUCAGCUCUCCCGGCCUCCAUUUUCUCAUCUAUGAAAUGGGGCAUUAAGAACAGUUAUCUCAUUGGAUCCCGCUGAAGGCAAGGUGAGAGGCUGAUGUCUACCCGCCUUACACACCAUGAACACCAUUACCUGUCCUUGCUGGUCAUCAGCUCUUAGGCUGCUGUUCUGACAAAUGGGCUUUGGACUGGCUCCCCCAGCACCCAGCACCUCAUAGGUAGAGCACCAGGCUCCAUGCCUUCCUCCCUGGACUCAGGUCACAGGCUCAAUGACCUGCCUAGUAGCCACCACCAAGGCCCAGGACUCCUCCCUGUGUCUCUGGGCCAGUCCAUCCUGCUGCCUUCCUGUUGGCGCUGCUCUGUCACAUAUGCUACAUUGGCUACAGGGGCUGUGUCCUAGAAGCCUGGACUUCCCUUCCUUCUGCUCCUGCUUCCACAUUCCACUCCCUUCUGGGCAGCUUGUGCCAUUCCCCCCAUUCCCGAACCUUCCAUGGCCUUCAUGAGACAGGUCAGGGAUGCUCAUUUCCAUGCUGUCAUUCUCCAGCACAGCACUGGUAUCCCAGGGCUGUUGUAACCAAUAACCACACGCUUGGUGGCUUAAAACAACAGAAAUUUAUUCUAGAGGCCAGAGGUCUGAAAUCCAGGUGUCAGCAUGGCCACACUCCCUCUGAAGGCUAUAGGAAAGAGUCCUUCCUUAUCUCUUCCAGCUCUGCUCACUCCAGUCAUUUGUUGGUUUACGGCGACAUCAUUCCAGCCUCUACCUCUGACUCGUCCUGGCCUUCUCUCUGUGUCUCUGUCUUUUCUGUCUCUAUAAGGACACUUCAUUCGAUUUAGAGCCCACCCUGACCCAGUACAAUCUCAUCUCAAUCCUUACCUUAAUUACAUCUACCAAGCAAGACUCUAUUUCCAGUGAGUUCGGGGGACAUGCUAUUCAACCCACUAUAAGUGGCAAGGCCCAGACCCAGAGAGGAAAGCUAAAGCUAGAGAAAUGGCUGAACCCACUGGACACAGGGGGUUCUUCUUCGGGAGCCAGCUGUCACGCGUGAGUCAAACCUCAGCCACUGUAACCACGCGUGAGUCAAACCCAAUAUUUCAGCCACUGUAACCACUCAGGCUUUGGCAGUCAGUGGUCACACCAGAAUCUCUCCAUAGGUUACAUUACACCACCCCUUCCGUCUCACCUACAGGCUGUUGGUAAAGUCCUUCUGUCCAAGCACACACUGUAAAUAAAGCCAUUUCCGUUUGGGGACUGGCGGUACAGUAAAGGGAAAGAAUUAAACAAAGAAAGGCAAAAUCUUCAUCAUCCACAAAACAAUACGCAAAAACCAGGGCAUUCCUCCGGACCGUCGAUAAAUAAUCCAGACCACAAAAAUAACAGAUUAGACAGCUUGUGUAAUGGUAGCAUGUGAAAGACUGUGGAACUUUCUAAAAUUAAUUUUCUUCAUUUUGGUUUAUUAAAAUUGCACUCAUCUAUCUCCCCUGUUAAAUAUUUUAUUUUUUCAUAUUAAUGGCUGCAAUUUCAGCUUGUGCCUGUUUCUGUCAUUAACACUGUACAAACUUAAUAUCAUUAGUAGUUUUUCCCUUAAUUAUGUGACUAGAGAAGAAAAACAUCAAAGUUUCCGUGAAAUUGGAAUAGUAUAUCUAAAUUGCCUCAUGUUUAUUUUAACAUUAACAGUAAAUGAAGCUAAUGGGCUUUUAUAUUAUUAAAAGCACUCAUUUGUGUCCUGCCUGUUCUAAUAUAUAACAAAGCUUUAAAAGAUGUUAAAUAAUUAGUUAUUUAAUAGGGAUGGGUGGAAUAGAUCAAACAAAAGGAAAAGUUGAGGGUAACCAAUGCACAUGGUUGAGGGGUCUGUCCCUUUUAGGGCUUUCAAAAGGGAUUCCCUCUCCUCAGGAUCCCUGCCCCACUGUUAAGGGAGAGCUCUAAUUUACAACUACCCUGGAGAGUUAAAGCAACAAAAUCUAUUGCCGCAGCCCUGCAGAGGACACACAUGUGGGGGGGGGGCAAUAAUGUUUGCAAUUAUUUCUGGACAAUCUCCAUUCAUAAUUCAAUACCUGCACAAGGCCCAUGUGAGGCUGGGGCUCAGAGGUCCUCUGUGGGAGGGAGGCCGCGGGGCUGCUGCUGGCCUGCCUUCUCCCUUACAGUUUCCUCACCUCAUAGCAGGCUAUCUAUCCCUGGCUUCAGGGGAUGCUGGUGCCUGUAGGUAUUCAUCUGCCUUCUGAGCCUAGUGAGACCUAGGGAGGGGCUCUAGCCUGUGGGUCUGGAAGAGGUACCAGGCUGUCACCACUCUCCUGCUCAAAAACCUGCAAUGGCUCCCUUGGCCUGCUCUGUCAAGGCCAACCUCCUUCUUGGCACUUGAGGCCCUUACCUCUCUGACCCUAGCUCCCACUGUUCCCAGCGUUUGCACUCUGUUCCAUCAACUGGUUCCCUCACCGGACCCAGUACACGCCAAGCUGUCCUGUCUCCUUGCCCCUGCUCAUGCUGUUGCCCUUGCCUGAAACCACAUUCACCCUUUCUUUUGCCUAUUCAUAUUCUAGUCCUUCUUUAUAGUUCCAAUUCCAGAUCCUCCAUCAGGCCUCUCCAGGUCCCCCUGGCUCCCAAAUUCCCAUAGAGCAAUGGUCCUCAGGCUUGAGUGUGCUCAGAAUCGUGGAGAGGGCUUGUUACAGCACAGAUCACUGGGCGCCACCCUUAGUAUGCUGGGUUUCCUCGGUGGUCCCCUAGGUCUCAGUGUCUAAUGAGUUCCCAGGUGAUGCUGACGGAUGCUGCUGGUCCGGGGACCACACUUGGAAAAGUACUAGAGCAUAUACUGUCCAUCCAGUCCAUGAGGCUGUACUUGUACUAGCUUGAAAGGUUCUCUGAUAGUGGCGCAUGGCCACUGUCUCCUCACAUAGGCAGCAAGUUCCCGGAGGGAAGAGACACCGGCAUAUUUCACUAUAUCCCCCGAAACGCCCCGAGCUCAAGGAUGGGUUCAUGGUGGAUGGAGACAAGGACUCCUGGUGAACCGACUGACCAGUUGCCAUGGACUUUCAUUCCAUCCUUAGAGAAAUCUCCAUCUUACAGGUGAGGAAGCUGAGGCUUUGAGAAAUGAAGUGGAUGAAGGUCACACAGAUAUUCAGUGACGAAUUUGAACCCGGGUUCCUCGCCAGAGCUCUGGCCAAUACGUCUUAGUUGAACGAUUUCAGACAUGCGGUCUUGGAGGACAAGGAGACCAGAUGCUUUUGUCACUGCUGUGGUGAUACAUAUUUGCCAUUCACAACGCAGCCCAGCUUCUCUGCUGCACAGUCGAGAAAACAGAGGAAGACGUUUCCAGAGAGGAAAUGCAGCCAUGGUCAACAGCAAAUUAGUGAUGUGUGAUUCGUUAUCUCUUGUGUGUAACAAAUCAUCCCCAAACUCAGCAACUUAAAAAAAAACAAACAUUUAUUGA